rnacentral:rRNA from 1 species
AUUGAACGCUGGCGGCAUGCCUUACACAUGCGAGUCGAACGGCAGCACGGGUGCUUGCACCUGGUGGCGAGUGGCGAACGGGUGAGUAAUACAUCGGAACAUGUCCUGUAGUGGGGGAUAGCCCGGCGAAAGCCGGAUUACUACCGCAUACGAUCUACGGAUGAAAGCGGGGGCCCUUCGGGCCUCGCGCUAUAGGGUUGGCCGAUGGCUGAUUAGCUAGUUGGUGGGGUAAAGGCCUACCAAGGCGACGAUCAGUAGCUGGUCUGAGAGGACGACCAGCCACACGGGGAGUGAGACACGGCCCAGACUCCGACGGGAGGCAGCAGUGGGGAAUUUUGGACAAUGGGCGAAAGCCUGAUCCAGCAAUGCCGCGUGUGUGAAGAAGGCCUUCGGGUUGUAAAGCACUUUUGUCCGGAAAGAAAUCCUUGGCCCUAAUACGGGCGGGGGAUGACGGUACCGGAAGAAUAAGCACCGGCUAACUACGUG